GGUGACAUGCCAGCAGCUAGUCAUAGUACUCCAACCGCUUCAAUACUAGUAGUUGAUGAGCUAAUGGGCUAGAGUUGCCAUAAAAGACCAAUAGCUUCUUCAGCAGCACUAACACUAGCAUUUGGAGACCAAACAAGAUAAGAUUCUUUUAUCUUCUCCAGUUUCCACUGUCUUAGUGUCUUUAGCUUCUUAGCUUCGAGCACUUGAAAAAGGAAGCAUGUUCUUAACCCAGCUUAGAUAGACUGACAUGGUCAGCACGGGAUUGCAUAAGAUAUUCAUAUGCAAUUUAUUCCCUAUUACUUUGAGAAGAGAAUCAUUGGUUUGACCGACGAGCUAUGUGAAAAAUACGAGAUCUAGGCAAGCCGCUACAUGUUCUCCCCUUGCCCUUGAACGAUGGAUAGAAGAACUACUUAUCUUCUCUUAGAUAGCGGUCGAUCGGUUCGCAUCUCAAUAGGUCUGCAGAUCUAUUUUCUUCUAUACGAAAAAUCACCAUCUCGUAGCACCACCACGACACCGAUUCUCAUUCUUAUUCUGAGCCAGCCCCCCCAUGCCGUGACUUUGACUUUGAGUAUGAUGAAUGAGUGGAAAGAUCUUUUAUAGAAGUUCCCUGUCCGAUCCAACCAAUGAGUUCGUAUCGAAAAUAUAUCCCUUCUGCACUACAAACAAAAUGAAGGGUGCCGUUACAACACAAGAACCAGACAAAAAUGGAGUAUGCUUACUUACCAAAUUGUGCUCUAUCUUAUAAUCUAAAAAACUGUUCUUCUCGUUCAUUUUAGAGGCCUUGUAGGCGAAACCGCAUAGAGAUAGCUUCACUGAAGACAGGAAUAGCUAAACUAACUACUACUGACUGACUAUUCCUAUACCUAUUUUUUACCUAUUUUAUUAUAGGCCUACCCCGGACCGAGGGCCGCUCUACCAGCUCUGAUUUCACCAUCGGGUAUAGUAGAUGACAAAAUCGAGAAAACCUGAAAGUCAGAUUCUCGACUUCAACCAUUCACUAUAGCUUAUACCCGUAUGGAGCCAACCGUCAUAGUAUAGAUAUGGCAUGGGGACAGAGACACAGUACCGCGUGUCCGCGCAACCUCUCGCUUCUCCACCCCCGAAAGGAGUAAUAUCCAUAGCCAGCGGAUUGAUUCCCUUCCGAUCAUGGCCUUCUUCUCGUACAUAGCGCUUACAAGUUUGUAGCUUCCAAAACAAAACUAGUUUACAGGUUCCUUCCCGAAUUGACUUUCGCAGUCCCCCACUCUGAAUGGUUACUGGACAAGAAGAGGGGAGCUAAUCCCUUGAACUUAUAGCAAUCAACUUGUUUGAUCCCCAUGUUCAUCCGCUUGGUUUCAUCUUAAAGGUAGCUAACCACAUGCUUUCCAUGAUCAUAUACAACAACAGAUCGGAGGUUAGUUUCCCGUUCGAGAAUCUAUCUAAUGGAACGUGGGACUCUACCCCACCCAAAGGACUGGGCGGGCUUCCGGGUUUGUGUUGUGUUUUUGUUCCGUAAAAGUCAGUCUUUGCCUUUAGAUUGCACGAUACAAGAAAUCCUAGUGGCAGUGCUGAUCACUUCAGGAAAGUAGGGGGUUCUCAAGGGGACGACCAAAGAGAAAGCGAAUGGACAAGUAGUCGGAAACUGAAGGCUACAAAAAAGAUUGGUAAAAAAGCAAGCCAGGAAGCGAAAGUAGGGAGGGGGUAGACAAGAGUGGUGCAGGUGCAAGGCAAGCUAAGGGUAAGUGGGUCCAGCGGGGUCAGUCUGGACCGGGUCAUAAAGUGGCACAGAUAAUAGCAAUAUAGGCGGAAAAAGAUUGAAAAAGGGUCGAGGAGUACGAGGAUGAUGACGAUCGUGAAUUCUUCAAAAGAUUGUUGGAGCAAAAGAACUGGCAGAUCGAUCACCUUGUAGCUGAGAAUGACGCAUUGAAAGCGGCCUAGACCACUGACCUUUGAUGGGAGGCUUCUUCCAAUGGAUUGGUCUUCGAAAGCCUAUUUUUCAGUGAAGAAAAUAGUACUUUACUGAGAGCACUAGACCUUCUCUCUUUCUGGAUUGAUUCCCACUCACUGCCUAAUAGCUGGCUUGGCCCAUGAGACCUAUUGUCUUAUUUAUUAUCCUGGCUCACUUCACUACUUUGGAGAAUGGGUUUUUCCCCUUUCUGGUUCGCAAAUGCUCUAACCCAUCGGGAAGCUCCAUCCAAAUUCUAGUUGAUGUGAGCACUUCCCCAGAGGCAGAGUCUGAGUCUACAAAAGGGUGAAAGCAAAAAAUGUAGGUGAGGGAAUUGCGUGUGGUGGAUAGUUCGUUAGCAAAGAGACUCAUUCUACGGUAGUGAGGAGCUAUGGAUCGGCCAAAUCCCUUGUUUUGAGCUCUGAACCCUCGAUGGCGUAAUCCAUUGGAUCUAGUCGCGGUAGGGUGAGAUCAGUUCAGAAGGAUAGAUCCCCUGAAGGGAGAGUUCGUCAACCAAUCUCAAGUAGGGUUGUCUGAUUUUAUUCGCUCCAGUAUGGGCGUAGGUAU
rnacentral:lncRNA from 1 species